rnacentral:rRNA from 1 species
GACGAACGCUGGCGGCGUGCUUAACACAUGCAAGUCGAACGGAAAGGCCCUGCUUUUGUGGGGUGCUCGAGUGGCGAACGGGUGAGUAACACGUGUGUAACCUGCCCUUGACUUUGGGAUAACUUCAGGAAACUGGGGCUAAUACCGGAUAGGAGCUCCUGCUGCAUGGGGGGGGUUGGAAAGUUUCGGCGGUUGGGGAUGGACUCGCGGCUUAUCAGCUUGUUGGUGGGGUAGUGGCUUACCAAGGCUUUGAAGGGUAGCCGGCCUGAGAGGGUGACCGGCGACAUUGGGACUGAGAUACGGAGCAGACGGCUACGGGAGGCAGCAGUGGGGAAUAUUGCACAAUGGGCGGAAGCGUGAUGCAGCAACGCCGCGUGCGGGAUGACGGCCUUCGGGUUGUAAACCGCUUUCGACUGUGACGAAGCGUGAGUGACGGUAAUGGGUAAAGAAGCACCGGCUAACUACGUG